rnacentral:tRNA from 1 species
GCCAGUGUGGUGUAGUGGUUUAAGUGUUGGACUAUGAUUCUAGAGAACAGGGUUCAAAUCCCCACUUAGCCA